rnacentral:rRNA from 1 species
CAUGGUGGUUUUGCCGAGGGUGUUCACCUCUUCCCAUUCCGAACAGAGCAGUUAAGCCCCUCAUGGCCGAUGGUACUUGGACACAAUCCUGGGAGAGUAGGUAGCCGCCGUCU